AGAAACCCACCAUCUGCCCUUCAGUCAGCCCUUGAAGGAACAGUAGAUAGUAACAACACCAGUGACAUAGAACAUCUGAACAGUGUUUAUGGAGAUAUUCAAGCACUAUGCAGAAAUACUGGCUAAAAAAUUGCAUGAAGUUUCAGCAAAGACAGCUUCUACAGCACCUUAAAGAAAUAAAAGUUUAAAAAUUUGUUUUUGCUGUUUUCCAGAGUCCUAGAAUUACCUCUCCAGUGAAAGACAGAAAAAAUAUUGAUUUAAUUGAGUGGAUGUAAAGAUCUAAAAGAUUGGGUCUACGUCAGACUUCUCUUUUAUUAUGAGGUUUGGCUUCCUGCCAUGUGUUCAGGCAAUAAAUUGGCUGUAGCGGAGCUGCUUCUAGCAUUCAGCUGGGUGGAAGUAUCCCAACAGAGACGGUAGCAGGCACAACAAGCAUUCUUCGAGCUGCAUAUACCUUACAGAAGAGGAAGAGAAAUGAGCUGAAGAAAUUGGCAUGAAAAGACAUUAAAACAAAGAAACAGACACAGGGAGAAACACCCAACAGUAACAACUGACUGGGAAGGUGAGGCAACUCAGGUUAUCAGGUUUUCUCAAGGAUUUCGACAAUGCUGCUCCGCUCAGGCCGCCAAAAGCCGUACGAAGUGCUUGCCUCUGGAAGGCAACUGGCUAAAGGCAAAUCUCUGCAGUGCAAUACAGCAGCAGCUUCUGAAAAGUCAGUAAAAUUGCCAGUGUUUAGACUGCGAAAAACAGUGAAGUGCUAUUUACUGACUGAAGAUUCAAAAACAGUGCAUUUUGACUUAGAUGAAGAUGGUCAUCAUGAAAUAUCAACCAAAGAUUCACAGUCCCAUGAAGAUAUCGCGUGGUUAAGUAUGUUCACAAGCAAUGAACCAGCAGUUAGUGCAAAAACAUGCUCUAAAAAUGUGGUGGUCCUCACACAGAGAUCAAAGCAUAACGAAUUUGUCCUGUUGUGCAAGGGUAAAAAGCAGCUCUGUCUGAAGGUCUUAAAAGGAUGUUGUUCAGAGCCAGAUUAUCCUUCAAUGAGAAGACGCAACAGGAAAACAUGCAAGCACGAAGAUCCUGACUUCAAACAGCUGAGCGAAGAUAAUCACUUUUUCAUCAUGCAUUGUGAAGGAGAGUCAGUGAAAUUCCAGUGCUAUGAAGACACAAAUUACUUUCUGCAUGUGAAUGAUGACUCACUUGAUAUACGCAAGCCAGAUCACAAAGACCCCAAUGGAGAGAAAAAUUUUUUCUUCAGGGUGUCAUACUUAUAG
rnacentral:lncRNA from 1 species